GGUGAACCAACUGCGACUGAGUACUGCACAAUUGGAUGCGGGACUUCCGUUUGUGACAACAUGGACAAUGUUUUCCGUGGCCAAGAGAUGAAAUUCGACAUGGGACUCUGCAGCAACGCAUGUGCCCGUUUCUGUAAUGAUGGUGCAGUCAUUCAGUCUGUUGAAGCCUAAUCAUGCCUUCUUGGGCAUGAUUUCUAUGGCCAAGGUCGUUUUGUCAUUUUCUCUUCAACAAUCUUGAUACCAUCAGCUACAUCGAAGCAAAUGUAUCAUCUUAGUUAUGUAUUUCUGUUUUUCCAUCGUUCCAAUAAGAGUCGCCACGAUGAAUCUAUUUGUACCCUUGGCUUAAUAUAAAAGUUCCAUGGAUAUAUUAUGUGAUA